AUGAAGGAUGCUGCUGUGAGUCAUGCCACCCCAUCAGCAAGCGUUGAAGUGGACGCUCCCGAGACGAACCUAGGCAAGGAAGAUUCCCGCUCAUCUGACACUGAUUCCAAGCGCGUGCGCGGUGGCACUCCUGUGUCCACGAUAGAAGCGGUCGAGGCGGCAGUUCACAAGGACAUGCCAUCUACAGGUGAGAGUCCUGGCACAACAGCUCCAGCUCCUGGCGGUGUAGAUACUGCUAAGGCGACUGUUUCGCGUGUUGGUCUACCACCUAGGCGUCGUAGCCCCCGCAAGCAACCAACAGACAUACCAAACGCACCGACAAUAGCCAGGAGCAGCAGAGACGAGUCUAGUUUUGUUCCUGCGUCCACACUGUUCCCACCACCUGCCAAAAGCAAUGUGACGGAGAAACCUGAAGACCGGAGCACAACUGAUGCAGGUGUCAAGCCGGGCACGAGCGACGCAGGUGAACACCCGGAGCAGACUGCGCCUUUUCCUGCUGUGGAAAUCCCCAGCAUAAAUCUGUGCACUUCUAGGCUCCCAGUCAACGUCGGUGUCCCCUACAGCCCAAACAAGAAGAUUGUCAUGAAAGCUACGGUUGAUACCACUGACAACACGCCCCGCCCUGCAAAUAAGGACGAUCAUUCUGCAGCGGCCGAUUCAGAUAUGUUUGUUGAUCUUUCACCCUUCGAUUCUGCCCCGCAAGUCGUUCGUGGUCCGACCAGCAGGAAUGAGAGGCACCCAAUGGCCUUUACCCCACCGAGUUUCAACCUUGGCAUCAGUCAAGAUCAACCGAUUGUGCAAGAUCCUAUGCCAGUUGCCUUUGCAUUUCCAGGAGGCAUGCCUGCAAUGAUGGCGCAGCCAAUGGUCGAGGGCAGGAAGGCUGUCAAGUUCGCAGAGCCGAUUGUGGUAUCCUAA
rnacentral:rRNA from 1 species